GACGAACGCUGGCGGCGUGCUUAACACAUGCAAGUCGAACGGAAAGGCCCUGCUUUUGGGGGGUGCUCGAGUGGCGAACGGGUGAGUAACACGUGAGUAACCUGCACUUGACUGUGGGAUAACUUAAGGAAACUGGGGCUAAUACCGGAAAGGAGCUCCUGCUGCAGGGUGGGGGUUGGAAAGAUUCGGCGGUUGGGGUUGGACUCGCGGCUUAUCAGCUUGUUGGUUGGGUAGUGGCUUACCAAGGCUUUGACACGUGGCCGGCCUGAUCUGGUGACCUGCCACAUUGGGCCUGGGAUGCGGCCCAGACUCCUACGGGAGGCAGCAGUGGGGAAUAUUGCACAAUGGGCUGAAGCCUGAUGCGGCACCGCCGCGUGCGGGAUGACGUCCUUCGGGUUGUAAACCGCUUUCGCCUGUGACGAAGCGUUAGUGACGGUACUGGGUAAAGAAGCACCGGCUAACUACGUG
rnacentral:rRNA from 1 species